GUUUAACAAUCAUUAGCAAUUGAGACCCUAUUUUUCACCUAUCUCAACCAAGUGUAUCAGUACCACCACCGCGACGUCACCAAGGUGGCCCAAACCUUCGAAACGAAAUUUCGCGGCGCACAUUAAGAACAAGCGAUGGCGAGAACGACACACCAAUAAUCGACAAUCGAUAUUGGGACGAAGAAAAUAAAACUCAUCGGUUUUGUGCAGAGACGGAGGUGAAGACGAGUUCGUGCGUUGCGUUGAGACGGCGAUGAAGCCUCCGGAUUGGUGCGCGUGCUAAGCGUUGUGAAGAUUUGCCUUCGUGCGUUCGCCGCUGAUUCGAGAUGAAGAGGUCGGAAUCUGAUUUCUUGAAGCUUUUCGGUGGAUCUCGAUAAAAGGAAACCUUUUCCAAAUCGUGAGUUCCUUCUGAUUUUCUUGCCCUAUCGCUAUGCUUCCAUUACGCGUUUCUUUCUACUUCUUACUUCUUCCUCAACUCGGUUGCCUUGUGGUCACUGCGUAGAGUGUUGUGAUGGAUUUGCAGAGGGUUCUAGCUCAGCCAAUCGAAACUUCCGCGUGGAGCUUUGAUGUCAAUAAUUGCGUCUUAUGGUUGUAGUGGUUCUAGGCUCGGAGAUGACACGCAGUGGGAUGGUGGAAACAGAUUGCAGAGGAGAUGAAGAUUGAAGGAGCGAUGAAGAUGAAGAGCAAAGGUGAAGAAUGAAGAUCUUUUUUCAACCCUGCAGUGAGAUGAAGGCAAGUGACUUUCAAGUCAUGCAUUGAGUGAAGAGAUAAAAAUGGGAGGGCAAAUUUUGGGGUACGACACUUAACAAAAAUGUCGUUAAGAAGUAUAGUAAGGGAACUCAAAUAAAUGAGGGAUGGGAUUGGUAACACGUCGAGGCGAAGUGCGAGAAGUAGGCUUUCACAGUGUCAGACUAAGUCACAUGUUGUUCCUGAUAUCACUCUAACAUCACUUGAACCUAUUCAGCAGGGACAAUGGCCAAAUAUACCAUCUGAAUUGCUUCUUGAUAUAAUUCUGAGGGAAGAAAAGACCGAGACUUCUUGGCAUGCACGUGUUGUUGUUUCCUGUGCUUUCGUGUGUAAAUCAUAGAGGAUCAUUGCAAAAGAGAUUUCCCAGACUCCUUAGCAGUGUGGAAGGUUGACAUUUCCUAUUUCAUUAAAGCAUGUGAUUAAGUAUCCACUCCUUUGUUGUUGCAUUCACUUUUUGCUUUUCCAUUUAAGUUGUUUUGCGUCUUAUGUUCUCUACUUUUUGUGUAUAAAUAGUCGGGUCCUCGUGAUUCUCCAAUUUAGUGUUUUAUCAGGAGGGACUGUGAAACUUCUACAUAUCUAUUGUACUAUAGAUUAGUGUCAUGUAAGUUUUUGCUUCAUUGCUGAUGAUGUUGCAGUACUCAAUUUCUUUAAUUCUUUUUAGGGUUUUUGAUGGUUUGGGCAUUAGGUUGGAUUUUUUUAUAUGGAUAUGUGUAGGGAUUUGUUAAUGAGGAUUUUGAGUUUUGGCGAAGGUUUGUGAAAGAUAUGGUUGAGGUGAAAUUAGAGGAGUAUUGUUUGUGGAGAGUUAGCUUCAAGGACAUUUAGCUAUCGAGAUUGAGUUUACAAGGUCACAAAUCGUUGUUGCAGUCCCUGGCAAUUUUAUUUUUUUUGCACCUGGUCUUGCUUUUUGUAUUCAGGUUUGUCAAUUUACAUAUACGUAUGUCUGCCUGUAAUAGUCUCUAUAUAGAUGACAACCAAUUAACAAUAAUAACUUGAUUGUGUACAUGGAAAAUAAUUUUAUACAGAAAUAUGGUAUAUAAUUUGUUUAAAAAAAUUGAAAGCACCAUAUAAGGUUUAAUGGUGAUAGGUUUCCCUGUCACAACCAUUUUUUAUGUGAAUUCAAUUGAUCCAAUAA